rnacentral:rRNA from 1 species
ACACGCAUGACACACUGCAUAUCAAUAAGCGGAGGAAAAGAAACUAACAAGGAUUCCCCUUAGUAACGGCGAGUGAAGCGGGAAGAGCUCAAAUUUGAAAUCUUCAAGGUUCUACCUUGACGAAUUGUAGUUUAUAGAAGUGUUUUCUGUUAGUAGAGUGGCAAAAGUUCUUUGGAAUAGGACAUCAUAGAGGGUGAGAAUCCCGUAUUUGGUCAUUCCUUCUAGCGUUGUGAUACACUUUCAACGAGUCGGAUUGUUUGGGAAUGCAGUCCAAAAUGGGUGGUAAAUUUCAUCUAAAGCUAAAUAUUGGCGAGAGACCGAUAGCGAACAAGUACCGUGAGGGAAAGAUGAAAAGAACUUCGAAAAGAGAGUUAAACAGUACGUGAAAUUGUCAAAAGGGAAGCGUUUGACACCAGUAUUGUUUUUCCGAAAAUCAAUUACGAAUGUUUUAUUUUUGAGAAGUUAUGACUUCAUCGGCUUGCUUCUCUCUUUAUGAAACUUUCUUAAUGCACUUUUCGGUUAACAAGUCAACAUCAAUUUCUUUUGUUGUAAAAGGGUAUGAGGAAGGUGGCUUUCUUUUCGGAGAAAGUGUUUAUAGCCUUGUAGCCUCUGCAAUCGGAGAGAUUGAGGUCUGCAGCGUAGAUCCUUCGGGGUUAGAUACAGUUUGUGCUAAGUUAUAGCUUUUCAUAGACAACUUGUUGACUAUGUUUAGUCUUGUAGCUUACUCGCUUAUGCUAUUUUACCUACGCUUAGGAUGUUGAGCGCAUGUCUCUCUCU